rnacentral:lncRNA from 1 species
AAGAAAUAAAUGUUGAGGUGUUUGAAAGCUACAGGAAAUGAGAUGUCCCUCAAGAAACAUGAAAGGUCAGGAGUAGAGAAAGCAAGGAAGCAUAAAAUUAUGGCAUUGGUAUUCAACUACGAUCAGAAGUGAAGGGCUGUGUUAUCUGAAUUCCCAAUUGUAAGGUUGAAUUGAGGAGUUAACAGAAAAAGUACGGACUUACAAAGCAGAGCGGCACAGUGCAGCAGCAUGAACUAAAUCAAACACUCCUAGCUCUUCUGUCAGUUGUGAAGGAGAGCUUAUGUUCUCCAGUUAUUUCAGUUACAUUGAAUCUUCCCGACAUAUCUAUAAUGUAUCCUGUCUUCUGCAUGCAACGCUCCUCUUGAACGAUAACAUGUAAUUCGUGGCACUAAAUGAUCAGCCUAUUUCAUUUGCUGCUUUCCCAUAUUAAUCUUCCCAUUAAAAAUACAGAAACAACAAAGGAGAUUAAUUUAAUGCUUUUUCCUUUUUUAAUUUAAAAUUAUUGCAUGGGGCCUUCUGACCAUCUCAGCACAUGUCCCUUUUAAUGUGCUGAAUCUUCAGCAUGGAUUAUUACUGAGCGUAACCCAAAUUGCUUAGCCCCACGUUUAUCAGAUGCCCACUAGCCGUAACUCUCUGCAGAGCACACAGGAACAGACAGCAUUUCAUGCAAGAUCUCCCCCAUGGAUGUAACCAGGCCCUGGGGCUCUGGCUGUUCCUGCUGGCCAUCAGCCAGGUGAGAAGGUCUCAGCCCACCAGCACGGAGCCCACCAGCAGCAGGAGGAACGAGAAAGAAGUAUCCUCACCAGUGAGAGCUUCAGGGAGAAAAGUAGGCAUGGGAUGUACUUGGCCAUGUCACGGUGCAGAUAGCACUGCUGGGACACUGUGAUGGCAGAGGAGUGGGAAAAAGGAGCAUCCCUGCUUUCCCCUGUCAUUACAACAUCCCCAUCUAAUCUUCCUUUUGACAUGCUUGACAAUAUAAGCAUGUUCUUUACACCCCCAGGAGACUUCCCUGGCUGCAAUUUAUCACUGAAAUGGCUUGAUUAAAUUUAAUUUUACUCUUUAUAAUUUUUCUUUUUUUUUUUUAAAUUACCUCAGCACUUUGAGAGGAAACUACUUUUUUUUUAUCAGUCGGUCUGACAGCUGAUUGUUUUGAGUUUUUUUUUACAGCAUCUGACACAGCUGACACCACUGUUCUUAUCAUAAAUAUCUGCCACAUUAGUUUAAAGCUGUGAUUAAAGCUGCUCUGCAUUCUGCUGGCAAGGCAGCUGGACCUGCACGAAUUACGAUAAUAACCACACAAGCUCCUUCCUGCGAAGAGUGCUGUUUCUGUAGCUGUGUCAGACAAGUGCUGCCUUUUAAGAAUGAUUGCUCAGCUCUAAGUGACAUUUUUUGGCUUUCUUUUAGAAAAGUAAGUUAUUUAUUUGCCUGGUAUUUUAACUAAAGAACACUAUCAUCCCUAGAGAACAAUUCUGUUUUUCAGCACCGGAGCAAUUACUUUCAGCUGUAUCAAGUGCCUGAUGUUUAAAAGUCUGUAUGGUUUCAUGGAUCCAAGAAAUGCCUUCUCUAAAGGACUCCUGAGCUAACUUCUCUGUGGUUCUCACCACCCUCACGGUCUCCGAAGUACGUCACUGCGUAUUGCUCACUCGUCGUUUAUGAGUAAAUGCACACCCAACUGGGAGAUGUUACACCCGGAGCUGAAUAGGACACAAAUGCAUAUGGACAUGAUUCCGUCCUUUAGACCUUGUCUGGAAAAGCUGUCCUUGUUCAGGACAAUGACAGAGAAGGAACUCUCUGGGGCUUUCUUCCAAGGGUCUAACUGAUGAGAGGUGUGGAUAAAAUGAUUUUUUUUUCCAUUUCCAAUAUGACCAUACAAUACAAUAUUUACC